AAAUUUAGGAUAGGGAAAAAACUAUUUAAUGGAUGAAGCGAGAACAGCAGGAAGAAAAGGAGGGAAGGUAGUUUUCUAGUACAAGCAUAUUGAGAAGAAUGGAGGACAAAGUUUGCGAAGAGCCAGCUAGAUUAACUAGAACUGGACCGAGAGAAAGUCCUCACACCUGAGUUCCUUUCUCAACUCUCCACCAACUGAACCGGGAUGGAAACAGACUAGUGAAGUUCUUUCAGUUCCCUUAAAGGUACUUUGAGGUCAGCUGGACCAGUGCUACUCAUCACCGCAGUGCAGCUAACUGGACGGCCCACCGGAGGCGUGGACUCCUCGGGAACAGGCAGCUUGCUAUGAGCCCCCGGCCAGGUCAGUGCAUCUCUCUGGCCCUGUUUUCUUAUCCCGACUUUCCCCGCUGAGAAAAUAACGUGGCCGGCCAGAGGCUGGGGGCGCCG
rnacentral:lncRNA from 1 species